rnacentral:lncRNA from 1 species
CACACAUUAUUAUAUAUGUAAAAUGUAAAUAGAAGCUACAUCAUUAUUUCAUGAAAUAACAUCAUAGAGAAUGUGAUAGCAGAGUUCAUUCUCAGCAAUAUAUGUGAAACUAAUUAGGAAUCAAACUGUCUUCAAUAGUUAGAUGGAGGUGGAGGUAUGAAAGGAAUGGAAGGCAAGCUGCUGCUGGGAAGUGGUGGAAGAAUAGUGAUAAGCUUAGGCUAAGAUGGUGGGAUUGUUGGUAGCUUUGGGAUUCAAGGCAAUAUAGGAGGAAGUGGUGGAAUUGGUACGCUGGGAAGUGGUGGAAGAAUGGGGGUAGGGUUAGGAAGUGGUGGAAUUGGUACUGGUACUCUAGGAAGUGGUGGAAGACUGGGGGUAAGGUUAGGAAGUGGUGGAAUUGGUAAUCUGGGAAGUGGUGGAAUUGGGAAUCCAGGAAGUGGUGGAAGAAUGGGGGGAAGUGGUGGAAUUGGUGGAAUUGGUGGAAUUGGUGGAAUAGUUACUUGCUGAAGAUUUCGAGCUGCUAGGCUAACCUCCAUGCUUGAAAAACCCAACAAAAUGAAACAAGCUAAUAAAAUGAAAACGUUGGAACCUGCCAUUUUUUUUGGAGAGAUGAACUAAAGAUUGAAGAUUUGAGUUGAGGUUUGCAUUGAGGAAAGCAGGAUUGCUUUUCAGGUAUUUAUAGCCACAUUUGAAAGACUUAAUUAAUUAUUUGUUUGAGAUAUUAUUCCCCUACUUAGCAUACUACCUUUUCUCACCCAUCUGUCAUCACCAACAAAAAGAAGAAGAAGAUAAAUUAGACUCAUCCUUAAACUUAAAAAUAUUCUGAAUGAGUCGAUUUGUCUAAUGUUAGUUAAAAAUUAAAUGCUUUUAAAUUUUGUGUGAACUAUAUCUUUCUAUUUCCAUUUACCUAAUGCCAGUUAAAAAAUAAAUAUUUUUUUAUAUAAUGAGUGUAUAUUUGACUUACGUAUGUGGCGCUCUAUUAAAAAAAAAAUUAAAUUAGGUGGAUCAAAUUUAAAUAUUAGAUAACUAUACAUGUUGGUACUUAAACUUGGUAUUUAAGAUUUUUUGUUGUCCAAUUAAAGGUUGAAUUUAAAUUAGAUAGUUGAACUUGAUUUCUUAGUUCAAAUUCCAAGCUUAGAUACCAAAAUGUUUGGUAUAAUAUUAAAUUAAAAAAAUUCAAGAUGUAAAAUACUAAUUUAACAUUUAAACUAGUUGCCCCAUACAGCUACAAUGGUAAUGAUAGAAGAAAAGUAAUUGAAUGGGAUUAGGAGAUGAAGAUCCUAGUAAAGCCACCUCUAGAGGUAUGAGAGUUGCGACCACUCUAUAAUUGAAUGCUACAAAAAUGGUUAUAUCUAGGAAUCUUUCGCCAUUAGCUAAUAAUGGAAAUAGCUAUGUAUCACUUAAAAAACAACAAUUCAUAUUUUCUUGAAAUAUAUUCAAAAAAUUGAAAAAUAUAAAAAAUAUCAUUUUUCUAAAAAUCCAAAAAUUUUAUGUGAAUAUCAACAAAUUCAGAAACUAAAAGAUAUGGAAAGCUUUAAAGUUUUUCCAAAAAGAUAGAAAUUUGCAGAAAAUUAGGUAUUUAAGAUUCCAAUAUUUUUAUUUCCCUUCUUUCCUGAUUGGAGAAAAUAUGAAUUAGGUGACGCCAUCGUUAACAAUUGGGGCAAGGUAAGACACGGUUGGAAACUUCAAGUAGGUGUAAUUUUGGGGAAAUAUUACAUUGUUUAAUAAUGAAUAUUGACAUGAUUUACCCUGAGUUAAAUCAAUUAUAUUUUACUUAUAUUUUCUAUACAAAUUUUAUACAAGCCUAAAUUAAUCAUAUUCAAUCAUAUCAAUCUCAAUAUUUUGAAUAAGAUAAUAAUAUUUUCUUAAAACUAUAACUAUAUAAAGUAUUGUAAAAAUAAUUAUUCAAUUAUACAGCUAUUUUAUUUGUAUAAUUAUAAUUAACAUAACCUUCUCCAUCAUAUAAUUAAAAUUUGUUCAACUUAUAAUUACAACAACUUUCCGUGAAGAAAAGAGAGAGACACAAAUACAAACUAAUGAGAUUAAAUAAAUCUCAAAUAUAAAAUAUUCUUCAAUAAACAUCAUUAAUCAAUCUCAAAAGAAACAAGAAAAGAAAUUCAUAAAUUAAACAAUAAGAAUAUAAUAUAACAAUCCAUUAUUUAAUAAAUUCAAAAAAAAAAAUCACAUUUAUAUUUUAAAUUUUAUUGGUCUAAUUUUAGAUAGGUUUAUAAACUUCAAAUGAUUUAAAAUAUUAGUGUCACGCCCCUAAAUAUAGGAAGGUUCAUUGAAAUGAAUAAAUAAGAAAUGUGUUGACACCAUUUUUUUGAUGAAAACGGGGUUGACUUGGAUUUUGAAAAUGAAAAUUAAAAUGACAGUCGCCACCAAUCCUUUUUGAUAAGGUGUGAUCGGAUCACCUUGAAAAGUGGUUGUUUUUAAUAAACGAUUUAAUUUUAUUAAAACAACGAGUUUGGUCCACGAAAUUCAGAAAAAUGGGUUCGGGAGUCGGUUACGUACGAGGAAGGAUUAGCGCCCUCGUGACGCCCAAAAAUUGGUACCUAGUUGAUUAGUUAAUGUCUUAAUGUCAAAAAUUGUAAACUUUGAAGAAUUUUAAAAAUACGAUCCUUAAUUUUUUUAAAAAGAAAACUUAUAUAAAUCAAGUUACUCGUUAAGACCCUCCCAUUUCAGAAAGAGAAAACGUCACGCCCAAUGCGUUAGGGCACGAUAUUUUACCUCUUCAGAAAUGAGCUUGUCUAAAAACUUACACAAUAAAAUUUUAAAGGGCAUUCAAUUGUUUAAGUCAUGUGAAAAAUUGCAACCCAAUACAUUAGGGCACAAUUUCUCAAAAUAUUAAACAUUGAAUAUUGCAUUUAUUUUGAAAAAUCCUCAUAUCCAAUGCGUUACGGCACAACGUACUGAAUUCUCGAUAAUGAGCUAUUUAUUUAUGUUUUUGUUUUAAAGAGCACCCUCGAUUAUUUAGAUCCAACGAAGAAAAUUGGAACCAAUACGUUAGGGUUCAAUUCUCUCGAAGAUCCCAAAUACCGAGUAUUACUUUUAUUUUGAAAUUUUCCGUUUUUGAUAAAUCCGAGUAAAAAUGGAUGCAAAAUAAUGAUAAUGAUGAUAAUGUAAGUAAAAUAACACGAGCAAAACAAAAUAUAAAUAAAUAAUAAGACUAAUAUAAAUACAAUCGUGCAGGCGCAAUAACAAAUAAGAAACAGAUAAAAACUAAAGCAAGAAAAAUAAUAAUAACAUACAUGUAAAUAAAUAACUGAACAAAAUUAACAAAAUUAAAAAAAAUAUAAAAGAUAUAUUUAUACAUAUAUAUGUAUAAAAUUAUGAAAAUAUUAAAAACAUAUGCAUGUACACAUUUUUGAAGCUAUUAUACAUGAAAAUAUAUGUAAGUAUAUAUGCACAUACAUGAAUACGUAUAGAACCAUCAUCAAAUAUAUAAAAGUAUAUAUAUAUAUAUGUAGGUAUAUAUGAAUCACAAAAUUUAAAGAAUAAUAUAUAUAAGAUAUAUAUUUUGGAAGUAUAAAGAAUAUGUAAGAAUUUAUAUAUACAUACAUUUAUAUAUGAAAAUGAAAUAUAUAGAUAUGUAUGUGGGUAUGUAUAAAUAUUAUAAAAUAUAAAAACAUAUAUGUGUACGCAUAUAUAUAAAAAUAUACAUAUGUAUAUAUACAUAUAUAUUAUGAAAAUAAAGCUAAAAAAAAACUAGUUAGUGUAUUAACAUAAUUGUAACGACUAAAUAAAGGAAAAUAAUAAUAAUAAUAAUAAUAAUAAUAAUAAUAACAUUAAAAUAAUUAACUAAAUAAUAAAAAUUGCUAAAAAAAGAUUAAAUCGAAAUAAAAACGAAAAUACUGGGCAAAUUCGAAAUAAAAAAAACGAAAAGGAUUAAAUUGCUACACGCAUCGAAAGAGGGAGACCAAAACGAUAAAUAAACCAAAGCCCCAAAACGCAGCGCUGCAACGGACUAAAAUGAAACAAAAGGAAAACUAUGUGGCUAAAUUAAAAUAAAAGAAAAUAAUGAAAAAGGGCCAAAUUGCAACUCGUUGCAAAGUCGGAGUGACUACGCGCGCAAAUAUCCCCUUUUAAGAAAACACGCGGAUCCUCCCCCAGGGUCGGGUCACCGAGCGGGUCAGGGCCAAAAUGGCGUCGUUUUGGCACCUGACCCUAAUGACAAAACGGCGCCAUUUCGUUUAGGGUAUUUAAACCUAAUUUUUCCCAAAAAACCUAAUUUCAGCCACCAUUUAAAAAAAAUAAAAAACUUUCUUUUUCUUUCAAAAAUCUGACUUUUGGGGUAAAAUUUUUUACUUUCUCUUGAUAUUUUGCGCGAAUAUGAAUUGUUUUUUUUUAAAAAAAUAUGUAUAAAAAUAAAAAUGAACGGGUAUAAAAAAGAAAAGAGAUGCGAAACUAAAAUCACAUUGGAGUGAAUCUGUUUGUUUUUUUUAAAUCUGUUUUUGUAUUAUUUAAAAGUGUUCUUACAAAAAAUCUAAAAAGGAACCCCCUAAAUUACAGAAAAAUUUGGCUUUUAUAGCCGAUUCUCCCCCCUCAUUCUUUGCUCUGUUGCUUUUCUAUUGCUUGCAGGGACUUGACGCGGUGCAUGUGGGGUGUCGGUGGCAAGUGGGGUGAUGGAACAUCCGACGGUGGCCGUGGCUGCUGGUGAUGCGACUGGUGUGCGGCGGCCAAGAGCUAGGGUUUCAGAAAAGCUGAAACCCUAGUUUGACUGUUGGGGUUGGGAUUUUGGGCCAAUUGGGUUAUUGGGCCUCGAGUUUGGGUUUGUAAUUGGGUUAAUUUAUUUUUUUUGGGUUUUAUGUUUGGGUUUAUUGAAUAUUGGGCUGAGGGUUAGUGGGUUAGGCCUAGGUGGGUUGGUUUGGGUUUUGGGCCCCGGGCUAAAAUUGGGCUUGUACAAAAUGAAUUAGGUUUAAUGGCUAAGUGUUAAAGAAUUCACCUUAGAGACUUAAGUUCGAGUUCCCUUCCUUCCUUUUUAUUUUUGGUAACUUGGUUUUAGGGUAAAGUCACACUCAAAAUAUAUACGACUAGGAAUUAAGAAUAAAUAAGAAAUGGGCAAUAGGUCCAAUGGUUAAGUGUUAAUCCCCUAUCUUAGAGAUCUUAGGUGUAAGUUUCCUUUUUCCCCUCCCAUUUUUCUUUUGGAUUUCGACAAUAAGGGGAAAUUUGCUGUGCCACCCCUAGGGUUUUCAAACCCGAGCUAUUUAAUCAUUCUUUUCCCAUUUGGAUUAGUUUUGCUUCUUUUCAAAUUCUUGUAAAAUUUCUACUCAUAUUAUAUUUCUCUUAUAUUUAUUUUCUUUUCCUUUCUUUUCAUUGUAACACCCUAAACUCGGUCGAAUAGGUUCGACCUAAAUUUGGAGAGCUACAUUAGCCACCGAAGUGACUUUCCAUUAACUCCCAAUCUAACCUCUAACACACCACUUACUUGCAACGUAUAUUAUGAUAAGUUAUAUCAUAACAAGGGUAUAAUAUAAUACAUAUAAUGUAAAUCAUGCAAGCUUAAAACCAAUGUAACACCCCAAACCCGGCUGAGUAGGUUCGACCCAAAUUUGGCGAGUUACAUUAGCCACCGAAGUGACUCUCCAUCAAUUCCCAACCUAACCUCCAACACACCACUUACUUGCAAUGUAUGUUAUGAUAAGUUAUAGCAUAACAGUGAAAUAAUAUCACAUAUAGAAUGUAAAUCAUGCAACCUUAUCAAACAAAAUGAGGGAACGGUUCGCAUGUUAAUUACUACGUAAGGCUACGUAGUAAGGUUAUCGCACCUAAGGGUUCACAAGCAUAUAGGGGGUCACAAACAAACAAAGGUCGCAGAAAAUAACACUUCGCAAAAAAAAUUGGCUCGCGUAUGAUGUUAAUACAUAUUUUGGAAAAAUUGAAAGAAUGCGACAUGGUACUCAUGCUAGGAGAAUUAAAGAAACAUCAAAGUAUAUUCAUGCAGAGAAGAAAUUAGUAAUAAAGGUUUAACUUCAUGGUUCGCAAAAUAUUAAAAGAAUAAACUUAAACUUUAGGGAAAUCGUUUCAUUAACAGAAUCAUAUAAUGAUAAAUCUAAACCUAUAUAAAUAAAACCCCAUCACCUAUUUCCCUAGGUUCGCAUUAUUUGUUCAGAGAUAGCCUCGCUAUUGCCAUUGGCGACUUACUUACCUGCAAAGUAAGAGAAGAGUGGGUGAGUUCAUUGCGAACUCGGUGAAUAAUCCGGAAUCAUCAACGUAUGAUUAAAAUACAGAGUUUAAAAUAGAAAGAAGACUUAGUAUGAAAAACUAUUGUAUCGCGUGUUGGGUUCGCAGUGAAUGCUAGGUUCGCAGUGAAUGUGCGAGACCCAGUUUAUAGAACCUGCUUGUCAUAAAAUCAUAUAAGUUUGAAAAUAGUUUUGCAUGUACUUACUGAAAAUCAUACUUAAAAACUUAGCUUGUUCUUGUUUGAAAAUGGAUCUUUUAUAGAAUGAAACAUGCUCACAUACUUAUCUUAUCGGAAUGGCUGAGGAAUAUAAAAUAUGUUCUUGCACUUUUCUUAACUUACUUAUAUUAUCUUGUCUUAUUUUGUUGGAUAUGUGGAUCUCUUUAUAACGCCUCAGAAUGACUCAAAGAGUCCUUAAGAUGUCCCAUAAGUGUAACAUAAGCUAAACACUCUCUUGUACACCAACAUGUCCUAUUGAAUGGAGCAUAGCUUGGCGUUCCCUUAUCUCUCCACAUGUCCCAAAGCCUCAAUGCCCAAAUCACAAAACUUAUUGGUGAGUACUCACAAUCCUUUGGUAUACAAAUAUAUCCAAUAUAUAAGCUCACAAAGGCACUCGUAUAGAAACUUAGCACAUAGAGCUAGAAAAAACAUAGCUUAUAGAACUGUAUUUUUAAAACAUGCUUUAAAACAUAGGCUUGCAUAGGAGCAUGCGUAACACAUAUCUUUAAAACAUAGCUUAAAACAUAUCUUGAAAACAAAUUAUCAGAACUUUUAAAAACAUAGUUUUAUAGGAAAAAAAACUUACUCUUGGAACUUAGUUUUUAAAAAAAAAAGAUUCUUAGAAAACAUAACAGUUCACACACAAGUUACGAAACCUGAGCAUUCAUACUAAAAAACAUGAUAGUUACCACACUUAUGGCAAUUCUUAACCACUCAUCGAUAAAACUGAAAAUUUAAAUGAGUUUUGCCUUGCCUUUAUCCUUGCUGUAGAUAGUCUGGUUGGUUCGUAACAUGCAUAAACACACAAAUUACUUCAAUAGACAAAACUUACGAACUUCACACAUGCAAGCGAACCUAGCUUUCUGGACAAUAAACCCUAAUAGGAAAAAUGCUUACCUUGGUUGCUACGAAUUUGGUUCAGAACAAAGACUUGACAACAAAAUAACGAUGAAAGAAUUUUUCCUAGAAUAAGGAUUGUAUUUAUAGGCACUAAGUAUCUUAGUGACCUUAGGAUACCCUAUUUGACUUAGGAACCCUCUACGGUUUAAAAGAAGGUUACGUGCACGAAAAGUAUCCUAGAUACACAAUAUAUUUAUUUCCUAAGUUUAGUCUAACUUGACUUUUGAUUGGCGAACCCCUAGUUUGUAACUCAAUUGUUGAACCCCAGCUCACUAAACAGAUUGGAGAACACAACUUUCAAUGAAUCUAGCGAACCUCUUACCACAUCAUUUGGCGUGCAGCAGUUUGCUAGAACACUGGCAAACUCCUUACUGGUAUCCCCUUUGGUGAACCCUAGUUUGCUGAAACACUAGUGAACCCUCACUUGUAAGGUCAAAACUUCUAGAUCAGGUUUCAGGAUGUUACAAACACCAUAUUUUUAUCAUAAUUGUUGUUGAUUAUUUUUCUUUCCUGAAUCAAAUCAUCUUUCAUUAAAUUAUUUUUCUAUUAGUUUUGUAAUUGUCGUCAAUAGCACCUCUAUAUUUGCCAAGAAACAAACCGAAUUUAGGUGAAUCAGACCGAAAUAAAGUGUGAAGAACAUCAACCGGAACUGUGGUGAAAGGUGUGUGUCUUUUCCAAGUGAAUCAGUGGUGAUCUGUGUACGAUUAAGGCCACAUGGGCUAUGCGUGUGGUCCACCAACUACCACACAACCAUGUGCACUUGUAGAUUUUAGGGACUUCAUGAACCAUACGGCCUCAGCCAGUUACACGAUCGUGUCUUUCCUGCAAGGUUUAUCAUUUUCCACAUGGAAUCAUGCUGUUACAUGACCGUCUAACCCUUACACAGGGUCUUACCCUUCUCACAUGGCCUGGCCAUACAGCCGUGUGACCCUGUUUUACAGUUUUGACCAAAAAUUUAUCAUAUGUUCAAUUUAGUCCUCGUUUAUCCCUUGAAUUAUUUUAGAGUUUUCAUUCACUCAAUUAAGUCCUUGAUAUUGUGUUUAUUCUAGAAUCUGUGAUUUAAUGACUAAAUUCCUAUUUUUAUAUUGUAUGAGAUGUGAAUAUUACAUGCCUACUGUCAUUGUAAUACUGAUAAACUAUUAAUGAUAAUAUUGUUACCACCCUAUUGAGUACAUGUUAAGCAUGUCUACUGCUAAUGUUGAACUGAAUACAUGAUAAGCAUGUCUAUUAUUAUUAUUUUUUGUAUUGUUCUAUUACAAAGCAUGCCAUAUUGCAUUGCAUGGGGUGGGACGAUAUGUAUGGAGAAAGGGUGACAGUUUAAUAAUCUGCAACCCAGUGGUGGCUCGUCCACAAACCCAAUGGCAGUUUAUCUGCAAAUGUUUUAACUAAAAAUACUGGUUGUUUAUCCGCAAUUUUUACAACGAAGUGGUAGUUUAUAUACAAAUCAGUGGUGAUUUAUCCACAACUCGGUGUGUAUGGAUGGAUGAGUUCUGGGGAACUCAUAGUGUGGUGUGUAGUGAAGUUGGGUAGGACCUUUUCUGAUAAACUGAAAUUGCAUUGCCAUUCAUAAACAUGUGCAUACAAACCAUGAAUUCUAAAUAUUAUAGUGAAGUGUUGAAUUGGAAAACCGAUAUUGUGAAUUGCUAUACGAUUGUGGUUAUUCUAAGAAUUGUUAUUUCGUAUGCUUUGACCACUAUGUUACACCGAUUUUCUUGUGAUAUGACUCACAUUGAGCUUAAGUUCACCCCCUUUUAAUUUCCAUCUUUAUAGAUAACCCACCAGGUUAGGACAUAGACACAACAUCUGGAAGGUCUUGGCUCAGAUAAAUUUUUUUAUUAAAAGUAUUUUAGACUUAUUAUUAUUUCUAUUAUUUGGAAUUGUAUUGUUUUAUUCAAACUUUGGCACGAGACUUAAGUUUUGAGUUUAUUUGACAUGCAUGAAAUUUAAUUUGAAUAUUAGGAUAUUGAAACAUGGAUUUUAAACUAAUUAUGCAUGAAAUUUUGGUUUCGCCAUCAUUAAAAAUAUUUUGAAUAUCAUUUUUCCGCUACGAUAUUAUGAAAAUAAGAAUUUGAAAAAAGUAAAUGAAUUGGAAAUCAACUUUUACUAAGUAAACUUUAAAAUCCAUUGUUUUUUGGAAACUUUUAUUUUUUAGUGAAAACAUGAUUACACGCAAAGUUUUUCUUCAAUAAUAAGCAAAUGUUUUAAACAACUGUUUUAUAAAAACUCCGAUAGUUGUAGUAGGCCAUUUCGGUAGCCAAUGCAAUCUUUUGAAUUCAGUCUUAACGUUUAGGCCGAGUUGAGGAAGUUACUAUUAGCAACUUAACAUUAAUUUGAACAUUAAAUGUUGGUCCAAACUUGACACGAAAUAUAUUUAGAAUACAUAAAUCAAAAAAUUAGUAAGUUGGCUACUUGGGUUAAUUUAUUGGUUUGACACAACAUAUCCUAUAGUAAUUCAAUGGGAUUAGAACAUCCCAACUCCUAGUUGAUUUAAUUGCUAGGUUAUCUAAGUCCACGCUUGCAAUUAUUGCUUAAAGCAUUUGUUUAAUAAAAUCUUAAAUUCCAAUGGAGGUGCUUUUUCAUAAUAUGAGGUAACCUAAGAAAAAGGAAAAAGUUGAACAUAUUGUUAAGUUAAAAUUGAACAAAUUAAGGCAAAGUGUACAAAUGGAGUGUCAUCAUUCAAAUCGGUCCUUCUCUUAAUUGUCAUAAGCCAAUUAGGUAAGCCAGAUUCUUUUAAUAAAAAGUAAAGAUUUCAUGGCAUCCCUAAAGCAUUGCAAAUUUUUUGUAAGCAUUAAAAUGGCAUUAGUUGGUACAAUACUGGUAUUGAUCUGUAUAUAUUGCUUCGGUUUUGAUCAGUACCAAAUAGUUUAUAUUUCGUUCAAUCAAAAUUUUGUUAUGUUUGAUUAUUUCGGUGUGUUUCGACCUAUUUUGGUCAAUAUCGGCUUGUACUAGCUAGUAUAAAAUUUGAUAUUUUAAACUAAAUUUUAAAAUUUUUUAAUCUUAAUUAUUUUAAUUUUGGCUAAAGGGUCUUCAAAGCCCUUGAACAUUAAAAUUUCAAUCAAUUAAGCCCAUCACACAUUAAAGUUAACGAUCAACCAUGAAAGAGCAACAAUAGCCAUUAUGAGCAAUUGUUUUCACCACGUGGCAUGUUAGACUGUACCACGUGACGAAAUAUGGUGUUUUAAAUUUAAAACCAUUAAAACUAUAGAAAAUCAUAAAAUAUUAAAAAAUUACAAAAGUUAUAAAAUUAUAUAAAAAUGAACAAAAUUAUAAAAAGUAGUAUAAAUGAUACAAAAAUUAUAUAAAUUAUUAAAAAAUUGCAAAAAGAAAACAUUAAAAAUAAGCUUAAAAUAAGAAUAUAUAAAAAAAUGUAAAAAAAAAAAAUUAGAAACUAAGUUUCGGAUACACAGCUCUGGCUGUAUUUUUCAUAAAUAAAAGCUUGGUUGAGAUUUUAGAUUUGGUAUAAAUACAAUAAAUAUAAUAUUUAUAGUAGUAAACAAGUGAAUGAAAUUAAGUAAUUGUGAUUGAGAUUCACCAUGAUUAUAUUUAUAGGAAUAAAAUAUUCCUAUAUAUAAUGAAAGUGUAAUUGAAUAAUAAAAUUCAUAUUAAUACAAGUUGCUUUAAAACAAAAGUAAAUAAUUUGAUAUUGAUCUUGUGAAACAAUUGAAUUUUGGUUUUGUUAUGGGAUUAAAUUAGCAAUUAAUCCUUUUUAAGAAUUUAGAGAACGAAUUAGAUAAGUUAGACAUAAAAGUAGAAGAGUAAAAAGAAAGGAAGUAGUGGGUAGAUUAACAUAAUUAGGAGUUUAAAUGAUAUGAUAAUAAUUAAAGCUUUAAUUUAGUUAAGGUAAUUAGAAAUGUUUGAUCAUAUUUUAGAUGUUAAUUGAAAUUAAACGAGUUAAUAGGUCGAAUACAAGUUUAUAUUUUAGUUAAGAUAAUUAAGAGUUUAACUAGAAUUAAAAAAAAAUAAGAAGCACAUUGAAUCGUCGAUGAAUUGAUUUGAUUCUAAAUCCAAACUCAAGAGAGUAGGAACAUAAUCCAUUGGAAACAACACUUUUAAGUUGUUUAAAUUUUUGAGAAAGAAAAACACUUUCAACCUUUUUUUUAAUCCCCACUCUAUCCACCAACCUACUCGUUGCUUUAUAAGUCAAAAUCGGGAAAUUAAAUAUUACACUAUUACUAAUUCGGUUAAAUUGGUUAAUUCGGUCAAAUGAAUAUUAUCGAUUUUUUGAUAUGUUUUUUUACUUGUUUUAACCAAAAAAAUAAAACAUAUAAAUUUCGGUUAAUUUGAUUAACCGGCCGAAUUAAUCGAAAUAUUUCGAUUUGGUUAAUGGUUAAAGAUACUAAUUCGAUUCGGUUAACUGAUCGGUUAAUUGUUUGAGCACCCCUAAAAAUAAGUCAUGGGACCAACAUACUGACUUCCAUACAAUUGUUAGGUAUAUAUAGCAACUCAUAAGUAUGAGUAGAAUUAGUACGCAGUACCUUAGAUUCAUUGAGCCACAUUUCAAAGUUUCCCAUGAUCUCUUUUGCUGUCAAUGAUAUAAUAAACUUUUUGUAUUCACAAUUAUGUUCACAAUAUAAAACAUAAUUGGUCGACUUGAAUACAAUUAAAUGAGACACUCUAAUGUUCUUUCCUUUUCCUCAAAUCUCUCUAUUUCAAUUCAACUACUCUCUAGAUAUGUCCCGUUAGAUUGAAUCAUACAUGAUCAUCGAUAGCCUACUAAAAUAGCUAAUAUUGAUGUAAAACUUCAAGAAACAGUUAAAGGUCAUGAGGGUACUUAGUAUAGAUCUUCAGUUGAUCUCAUGGGUUUCACACAACAUAGAAGCAGAGAUCAAAUCUUCUAUUACCCAUUUUGUUCGUAUAAUACACAUGUAGUAUGAAACACAUGCUAUGGUAUUACUCUCACUUUCCUUGAAGUGUAUGUCUUUAUCAAAAAAUCAAUACCACAUAGGUGAUAAUUCAAAUACACUUAGUAUCUAACUCGAGUCCACAACUUUAUUUUCUUAAUAGAUUCAACAACAAGACUUUCACCUGGAAUAAAAGACAUAUAAAGUGAAAAAUUCAUAUUUAAAUUAUCAAACAUAAAUCAAAUUGAUUAUAAUUAUAUCAUUUUGCAUAUAGCUCAUGUCGUGCAAGUGCACACUUUAGCCCCAACAAGUUUGGACCUAUGCCCUUCAUGCAUGCAAGGCAAGAUUCCAAACAUAAUCAUUCAAUCAUCAUUUAUGUGGGUUCUCAUAUAUAUACACAUCUCACACUUGGUAUUUAACCAAUGUGGGAUCUAAGCUUUUCUUUUCCUCAACAAAUAUUCACAAGUAGCUUACUUUGAGCACCAAUUUCUCAUUCAUCACUCAACCAUUUUGAGCAUAUGAUAUACUGUUGUAAAGGUCUCAUGGAGUAGAAUAUAAAAUCAUAAUUUUAUGAUUCAACUCUCAACAUUUACCAAUUAAAAAUAUGCCUCAAAGUUCCCAUAAAUUACAAAUUUUCCAACAACUUUUGAAUGCAUUAAUCAUUAUCAACAUUAACUCAAGUGAGGACAAGAAUAUAUUAUUCAACUUGCAAUCCUAGAGUUUUGACAUUCCUUUAAAAAAUCUCUAGGAAUCGGUUUUGUAAACUGAUUUGCAAUCCUCUUAUGCAUAGACUUUCUCUCUUGUUGUGAGAUUUACCUUCACACUUAUUUUUUCCAAUAUACUAACUUUAGAUAUUUGGAGUUUGGAGUUGGUCAAACAGAUGUAAAAGCUACCUUUUCCAAAUGAAAAUCUGGAAUUUACACAGACAAAGUAGAUUUCAUUGACAAAGGUGAAAUGCAUAGUCUGGGCAAGUUAUGAAGAUCAAUUUUAUGAUCUUAAGCGAUUUUCCAGAUAGUGAUAUGCUAUUUUUUUUAAUUAAGAAACUGUUUAGUUUGAUUUAAUCAUAAUUGAUAAAGACCACUUUACUCAUGUUAAAAGAAGGAAAGAAAAUUUUGUAACUAUGUCAUUUUAUGUGGGUGACAUGUUGUUGGCCGCAAAUGAAUUAGUGCUUAUCAUUAUGGGUUAUGCAAGACUACAUGUCAAUUCAUACGAAUGUGUCCUUUUUUCAAUGUUGUGAGUAGCAUCAUAUAUGUUAUGAUGUACAUAAAGCAAAGUAUCUCUUGUAUAGUUGGAUUCAAGACACUCCAAUCCAAACUCAUUGCAAAACAAUGAAAAUGAUAUUGAGGUAUUGAAAAGACACUAUGGAUUUUCACCAUGCUAUCUAAUUGUGAAUACAAAUACCUAUUAAUUAAAAGGAGAUUUAGAUGAAAUAUUGAAAUCUAUCUCCACACAUGUGUUCGUAUUUGAUAAUGGAGUGAACUCUUAAAGUAGUAAGAAAUAAACUUGUAUAGCAUGGUCUAUUAUUGAUGCUGAAAUUGGCAUUUUUAGCGAUGGUUCAAGAGAGUGUUUGGGUUAAAAUAAUCACGAUUAAUAUAGUUACGUUAAAGCAAAAUAUCUUCUAUAGUUGGAUUCAACAUAGUCCAAUCCAAACUUAUUGCAAAACAAUGAAAAUGAUUUUGAGGUCUUUUAUUGUUCUCUCUUGUAUAGUUUGCAUCUCAAGGCACUUUCUUGUUGAUUACGAUGAACAAAAAACGGUUGCAAGCUCUGGGACGAGCAAGAUCAAUAUCUUUAGAGAUCAAAUGAUGGUUAGUAUACAAAUUUAAAAACUAGUUUUUAUAAUUUCAUUUUCAUAUAGUUUUUAUUUAUUUUUUAUUAUAAAUUUUAUGCUUUUUAUAAUAUUUUAUAUGUUUUAGUAUUUUUACAAUAUUUUAAUAACUUUCUAUCUUUUUAAAUAUUUAUUACCAUUUUUAUUUUUAAUUCAAAUAAUUUAUUUUUUUCCAAUUUUCUAUAUUUUAUAAUAUUUUUAAUAAUAUUUUAUAUAUUUAAAUAUUUUUUCAUAAUUUUAAUUUUUUUAAAUUUUUCAUAAUUUAUAUGUUUUUUUAAUUUUUAUUUUAGUACUUUUUAAUGCUUUUCACAAUUUUUAAUAAUUUUUAUAAUUUAUAUUUUUUUUUCGUUUAUAAUCAUUUUUAUAAUUUAUAUAUAUAUCUGCAAUUUUAUAUAUUUUAUAAUUUUUGCAAUUUUUAUAUUUUAUAAAAUAAUUUUGUAAUACUCCAAACUCGGCCUUAACGUUAUGACCAAAUCUAGAGAUGCUAUGAAGAUACAUUAAAAAAAAUCUAGAAUCUGUUGAUUUUAUAAAAUGAUACUUGCCCUUAUUUAGUAAAAUCUGAGUUUAUUUGAGAAAUUUAUCGUUUUGAUGGGUUUGUCAAUUAUUUACUCAUAAAACUAGUCGAAUCCAAUUUGAAAACACGAUUUUUUUUGUUGUUGUAAAAUCCAUUAUUCAACAAUUCAAUUUUCAACCCACCAACGAGGAAAUCACACAGGACUUCCUGCUAACCUACCAUCUUUUUUCAAGAGUUCAAACCCAAUCCAACACCACCAACUCGACAGCACAUUAAGGGCUAACAAAAAUAAAUUAGAGACUCAAACGAUAAAUUAACAUCUUAUCGUUGAACUAGUAAACUCAUUCUAUCACAAAUUGAUCAAAAAUAGUAUUUAAGUGGUAAGGAACAAGAUAAGGAUAAAAGACAAAAAUAAUAAAAUUUCUUAAAAAUGAGAUUUGAACCCUAAUCAGUAAAACAAAUACUUAUUCAUGACAUAAAUUAACAAAUUAAAAAUUCAUAUUUUUGGGUCUUAAAAGUUUUUAAUAAAUUAUAAUUACUUGAUUCCAGUUUCUUUAUUAUGCCCAAAUUUAAGAUUAAGCCCUAUAUUUUAAUUUUGACAUAAUUUGAUUUAUUUAUUUUUAUAAUGUCAUUAGUUAUCUUAAAUCGCUAACAUUAUUAGCUAUGCCAAGUAAAAUAACAUCGCGUAUUUUUUUUCUUAAAAUCAUCACUUCUAACUAAAUAAUGGCUUAAUCACUUUUUUAACUAAUUAUACUAACAUAGAUUUUUUUUAGUUGGAACGAGUAUGUUUAAGGAAAAAUCACCUCAACACUUUACUUGAAAUUAGUAAUCACAUUAAUUAUUUGGACUAACUAAAUCAUUACUGAAUCACCUUCUAACUAAUUAUAGUAAUGUAUAUAUUUAAGAAAAAGCUCACUUUAAUGUUUUAACUGAAAUUAUUAACCGUGUUAAUUACUUAAACUAACUAAUGAAAAAUAUUUCAAAUUAAUUUAUACUGAAUAACUCUCAAAUCCAAGUAUAAUAAAAUAAUAUGACUAACUCAAACUUGGCGUUGAAUUGAGUUUGGGAGUAAAAUAAUCACAUCACUCAUUGGCAAAGCAUGACUGUGAUUAUGAUAUGGUUUUUCGAAGUAUAACUAUGGUGGAGUUGAUAGCAUUGAUUAGAAUACCUUUAUAAAUGAAUAUAUAACAUUUAAUCAUGUAUAUAUUUUUAAUAAUUUAAUAACUUAAAAAAACACCACACUUUAUUAUAUAUGUAAAAUGUAAAUAGAAGCUACAUUCUUAUUUCAUGAAAUAACAUCAUAGAGAAUGUGAUGGCAGAGUUCAUUCUCAGUAAUAUAUGUGAUACUAAUUAGGAAUCAAACUGUCUUCAAUGGCUGGAUGGAGGUGGAGGUGGAGGUGGAGACAUGAAAGGAAUGGAAGGCAAGCUGCUACUGGGAAGUGGUGGAAGAACAGUGAUAGGCUUAGGCUAAGAUGGUGGGAUUGUUGGUAGCUUCGGGAUUCAAGGCAAUGGAGGUAUGCAGGGUUGAGCUGAGAAUGAUGGUAGAUCUAGGAUUGAAGGCAAUGGAAGUAUGUUGGGCAACUUACGAAGUGGUGGUAGUUCUAAGUUCUGGGAUUGAAGGAAAUGGUGGUGGUUCUGGGAUUAAAGGAAGUGGUGACAUCGGAGGUGGCAAUGGUACCGGUAAAUAUGCAGAUGGCAAUGGUACUGGUAAAAAUGGAGGUGGCAAUGGUAUUGGCGACAAUGGAGGUAGCAAUGGUACUGGUGACAAUGGUAUUGGCGACAAUGGAGGUGGCAAUGGUAUUGGUGGAAAUGGAGGUGGCACUUGCUGAAGAUUUCGGGUUGCUAGGCUAACCUCCAUGCUUGAAAAACCCAAGGAAAUGAAGCAGGCUAAUAAAAUGAAAACGUUGGAAGCUGCCAUUUUUUUUUGGAGAGAUGAACUAAAGAUUGAAGAUUUGAGUUGAGGAAAGCAGGAUUGGUUUCGGGUAUUUAUAGCCACAUUUGAAGGAGUUUUUUAAUUAUUUGUUUGAGAUAUUACUCCCCUACUUAGCUUACUACCUUC